rnacentral:lncRNA from 1 species
GUGUGAUGUCUGCGGAGUUUUGGAGACUCUGCAUGUUUGGGUGAAGAAAUGCAGAGGCUGAUCUGUUGACAAAACAGUGUAUCUGAGUGAGGCUGACAUCAGGGCUCUGUGUAAGAAGUCAGGUUGGCAGCAGAGGAGAGAGGAUGUGUGGUUCAGCAGGAGGAGGAAUCAGGAGCAGCCAAAGCUUCAGAAGAGGUUUUGUGAAGCCAGG